rnacentral:sRNA from 1 species
CAGGUUUUGAUAAAAGUAGAAGAGGGGAAAUAGCAGCGCCGCCAGUAACACCACCUUCUCAAGAUCUAAAUUCGAAUCAUGCCAAGAUUGCCAAGACUACCACUCCGAGGAGCACCAACCCGCGGGGCCGGAAGAAACUUCGAUUGACGCUGCAAAACCUAAAGAGUGCCUAGGAGAAGCAGGUGGAAACCCACUUAGAGAAGGAGCUCGACCUUAUUUCCUUAUUAUAAGGAAGUCGUGACUGAGAAAGUGCACGAACUGAGCCAGUGCAUGGUUUACGAAAGGCCGCCAUUGCGGUUUUGCUGGAGGAGAGUGACUUCCGCUGUUGAAACUUGUUGACAGAUCCAUUACAGAUUGAACGGGGAGGUCGGUAGCGGCGCAAUCAUGCUGGCAGAGCCGUGACCUACCCCACUAUGAAGAGUAGUGUGUUGUUUGCGGGACGGAAAGUGACUUAUGAAUAUACCUAGUAUUAGAGGACUAGACUGAGUCGUGUCUUUGGUGUUGGAAGGUGAUUGAGAAUUCUUGCUUAUCUUGAUUCCGGUUCAUGUUUAUUACAUUAAGUAUUCAAUAGUAUAACAUGCAUGCUAGGACUUGGUCAUUCAAUUCUAAUUGAAACUUCUGUGACGCAAUCUGUUCGAGGACAGAGGACAGUUUGGUGUUCGAUAGCAUGUGUCUGAAUCGACGCAUGUGCCGGAGAGGUUGCGGUAUCUGAAAUGAUAGAAGCUCUAUAAGGGCUAAAGAAGGCAUCGACAAAGCUCAGUAAAGGUAUUCCUGAGGCAGAUAUCCAAUCGUUAGUGGAUAGUUCGAUGCAGAAAAAUAGUGAAGCCAUGUGCAUAACACUUCCUAACAUAAUUUGGUCUGUGUCUCAAAUAUUCAAAUGCCUAUGAUGAUUCAUUUAAUUUUCUAACAUAUCAUGGUAGGCAAUCCAUAAGUCUCUCCCCAGCAAACACGCUAGUCUUUACAGUGGCGUAGGUCCCCGACUCAGCCAGCACGAUUGCGCCGCUACCGAUCUCCCCAUUUAAUCUGUCAUGGAUCUGGUCGACAAGCUUUAACGAAGGUCACUCCCCUCCAGCACAAUCGGGAUGACGACCUUUCGUGAACCACCGUACUGGCUCAGUUUGACAUGCACUUUCUCAGCCACAGCUUCCUUCUAAUAGCGGAACAGGCGUCAGGUUUCCGCUUGCUUCUCCUCGACACUCUAAUAUAUGACUCAAUGACACAUUUGUUUAUGAUUGUCUAUUUUUUGAUUAAUAACAUGUCAUUUAUGUCAUACGUUAUUAUUAUAAUGUUGUUACUAUCAAUUUGAUCAACAAAAAAA